AGAACGAACGCUGGCGGCAGGCUUAACACAUGCAAGUCGAGCGCCCCGCAAGGGGAGCGGCAGACGGGUGAGUAACGCGUGGGAACGUACCCCCCGGUUCGGAAUAACUCAGGGAAACUUGAGCUAAUACCGGAUACGGCUGGAAGGCGAAAGAUUUAUCGCCGGGGGAUCGGCCCGCGUCCGAUUAGCUAGUUGGUGUGGUAAUGGCGCACCAAGGCGACGAUCGGUAGCUGGUCUGAGAGGAUGAUCAGCCACAUUGGGACUGAGACACGGCCCAAACUCCUACGGGAGGCAGCAGUGGGGAAUAUUGGACAAUGGGCGAAAGCCUGAUCCAGCCAUGCCGCGUGAGUGAUGAAGGCCUUAGGGUUGUAAAGCUCUUUCACCCACGACGAUAAUGACGGUAGUGGGAGAAGAAGCCCCGGCUAACUUCGUGCCAGCAGCCGC
rnacentral:rRNA from 1 species